rnacentral:rRNA from 1 species
AGCUUGCUCCUUUGACGUUAGCGGCGGACGGGUGAGUAACACGUGGGCAACCUACCCUAUAGUUUGGGAUAACUCCGGGAAACCGGGGCUAAUACCGAAUAAUCUAGUUCACCUCAUGGUGAACUAUUAAAAGACGGUUUCGGCUGUCGCUAUAGGAUGGGCCCGCGGCGCAUUAGCUAGUUGGUGAGGUAAUGGCUCACCAAGGCGACGAUGCGUAGCCGACCUGAGAGGGUGAUCGGCCACACUGGGACUGAGACACGGCCCAGACUCCUACGGGAGGCAGCAGUAGGGAAUCUUCCACAAUGGGCGAAAGCCUGAUGGAGCAACGCCGCGUGAGUGAAGAAGGAUUUCGGUUCGUAAAACUCUGUUGUAAGGGAAGAACAAGUACAGUAGUAACUGGCUGUACCUUGACGGUACCUUAUUAGAAAGCCACGGCUAACUACGUGCCAGCAGCCGCGGUAAUACGUAGGUGGCAAGCGUUGUCCGGAAUUAUUGGGCGUAAAGCGCGCGCAGGUGGUUUCUUAAGUCUGAUGUGAAAGCCCACGGCUCAACCGUGGAGGGUCAUUGGAAACUGGGAGACUUGAGUGCAGAAGAGGAUAGUGGAAUUCCAAGUGUAGCGGUGAAAUGCGUAGAGAUUUGGAGGAACACCAGUGGCGAAGGCGACUAUCUGGUCUGUAACUGACACUG